UAUUAAUUGAAAUUUUAGAAAUUUCUGACAUAUUUUUUGCUUUACAAAAAUGUGGUGCAUAACUAAUUACAUAUAUACAUCAAUGAGACUAAUCUUUCUAUACUAUCAAAUCAUCAAAAAAGAAAUCAAAGGGCAGAGCUUUCCGGGGGGAGUGAACUUAGUCAGUUCACCAUUGAUGAACUACAGAAGAAGCAGCAGCUUGAGAAUGGGAGAUUAAAAGUUUCAUUCAACCCCAUCAAGAAUUGAUAGAGCUUUUGUCUUUGCAAACUCAAAGAAGAAGAAGAUAAUGAUGAUGAUGAAGAGAAGAAGAAGAAGAAGAAAGAAAGAAAGAAGAAGCUGGAGAAUGAGAGAUUAAGAGUAACUUUGUUAUUGAAUCAUAAUCUUGUAUCUACAUGAAUGGAAUGGUACUCCUUUUAUAGAUUGAGUUUGUUAGCUCAUUUGUAACUAACUCUACUUAACUACCUUCUUAACUAACCUAACUAAUUUCCUGAA